UUUCGUGUCAUAUUCUUGUUUUUAAUCACAGUUUGUGACUAAAUUUGUCACUUCUAAUGUGCACAAAAUUGUUAAUUGAAAUAAUAAAAUUCACUUACUAAAUAAAUAAUUAUUAAGUCAAUUGACAUUUGCUCAAGAAAUAUUUCAUAUUUGGUAUACCUCCUAUUGUUUAAAUUAAUUUUCAAACUAAUUGAUUUUUUUGGCAUAACAUCAAAAUAAUCCACAAAAGAAAAUUCAAGAAUUAUUUGGUGGGGCUUCCGUUGUUUAUUGCCAGUGGGGUACUGUUUUCAUAGGGAAAGCUUCG
rnacentral:misc_RNA from 1 species